CCCUGCCAUUUGUACACACCGCCCGUCGCUCCUACCGAUUUCGAGUGAUCCGGUGAACUCCUCGGACUGCACUAGCAAUAGCGCGGAAAGUUGAGUGAACCUUAUCACUUAGAGGAAGGAGAAGUCGUAACAAGGUUUCCGUAGGUGAACC
rnacentral:rRNA from 1 species